GAUGAACGCUAGCGACAGGCCUAACACAUGCAAGUCGAGGGGCAGCACAUGAGUAGCAAUACUUUGGUGGCGACCGGCGCACGGGUGAGUAACACGUAUGCAACCUGCCUGUAAGAGGGGAAUAACCCGGAGAAAUUCGGACUAAUACCGCAUAAUACCACGAAUUCGCAUGGAUUUGUGUUUAAACAUUUAUGGCUUACAGAUGGGCAUGCGUAUGAUUAGCUAGUAGGUGAGGUAACGGCUCACCUAGGCAACGAUCAUUAGGGGUUCUGAGAGGAAGGUCCCCCACACUGGUACUGAGACACGGACCAGACUCCUACGGGAGGCAGCAGUGAGGAAUAUUGGUCAAUGGGCGAGAGCCUGAACCAGCCAAGUCGCGUGAAGGAAGAAGGUUCUAUGGAUUGUAAACUUCUUUUGUAAGGGAAUAAAAAGAGUUACGUGUAACUUAUUGUAUGUACUUUACGAAUAAGGAUCGGCUACUCCGUGCCAGCCGCCGCGGUAACAC
rnacentral:rRNA from 1 species